rnacentral:rRNA from 1 species
UACGGGGGGGGCAAGCGUUGUUCGGAAUUAUUGGGCGUAAAGGGCUCGUAGGCGGUUUGUCGCGUCGGGAGUGAAAACGCCGUGCUUAACACGGCGCUUGCUUUCGAUACGGGCAGACUAGAGGUAUUCAGGGGAGAACGGAAUUCCUGGUGUAGCGGUGAAAUGCGCAGAUAUCAGGAGGAACACCGGUGGCGAAGGCGGUUCUCUGGGAAUGACCUGACGCUGAGGAGCGAAAGUGUGGGGAGCGAACAGG